UAUCCUUUGUUGCCAGCGGUCCGGCCGGGAACUCAAAGGAGACUGCCAGUGAUAAACUGGAGGAAGGUGGGGAUGACGUCAAGUCAUCAUGGCCCUUACGACCAGGGCUACACACGUGCUACAAUGGCGCAUACAAAGAGAAGCGACCUCGCGAGAGCAAGCGGACCUCAUAAAGUGCGUCGUAGUCCGGAUUGGAGUCUGCAACUCGACUCCAUGAAGUCGGAAUCGCUAGUAAUCGUGGAUCAGAAUGCCACGGUGAAUACGUUCCCGGGCCUUGUACACACCGCCCGUCACACCAUGGGAGUGGGUUGCAAAAGAAGUAGGUAGCUUAACCUUCGGGAGGGCGCUUACCACUUUGUGAUUCAUGACUGGGGUGAAGUCGUAACAAGGUAACCGUAGGGGAACCUGC
rnacentral:rRNA from 7 species